rnacentral:misc_RNA from 1 species
UCCGGUUUGUCACCGGCAGUCUCAUUAGAGUGCCCAACUGAAUGUAGCAACUAAUGACAAGGGUUGCGCUCGUUGCGGGACUUAACCCAACAUCUCACAACACGAGCUGACGACAGCCAUGCAGCACCUGUCACCGCGUCCCCGAAGGGAACCUCCGCUUUCACGGAGUAGCGCGGGAUGUCAAGCCUAGGUAAGGUUUUUCGCGUAGCAUCGAAUUAAACCACAUGCUCCACCGCUUGUGCGGGCCCCCGUCAAUUCCUUUGAGUUUUAAUCUUGCGACCGUAAUCCCCAGGCGGAGUACUUAAUGCGUUGGCUACGUCACCGAGACAAUUAGGUAUCCCGACAACUAGUACUCAUCGUUUAGGGCGUGGACUAC